CACCCUCCCAUCCCUGCUUCAGCAAGGAAACCAGCCCCAAAGACUUGAUAAAUCAUUGGAUGGUUUGGGUUGCAAGGGACCUUUAAGCCCAUCCAGUUCCAACCUCUCUGCCACGGGCAGGGACACCUCCCACUGGAUCAGGGGCUCCAAGCCCCAUCCAACCUGGCCCUGAACACCUCCAGGGAUGGGGUGGCCACGGCUUCUCUGGGCAACCUGGGCCAGGGUCUCCCCACCCUCGCUGUAAAAGCCACAGCAUCCUCUAGCCUGGCAGAUGGGUUUCUGAUGGUACAUUACCAAGUCUUCACCCUGCUGAUAUCCUCGCAGGCUUUGUGGCUCUUUGAAGCCAGAGACACUUAGGAGAGGCUGAGCAAGCCCACGGACUGUAAAUGCUAUACAGAAUAUGCAGAUAAUCAUCACAGCCAGUGCUGAGGCCGCGCGCUCCCGAGUACCAUUGUAGGAGUGAGCUAGCACUGCAGGGAGGUUGCGAUUGCUCAUUUUCUAGCUGGUUGGUUGAGAGAAAAGCAAUGUCACCUGUGCUGCUCCCGGAAGGUUGUUGCUUAGUGUCUGCUUCAAUUUGUCAGGUGUUUUUUCCAGUCAUGGCGCUGACAAAGCCACCGAGUCCAUGAUGGACCUCAAGGGCAGCCCGUGAGCUGUGCGGUGCGGAAGAGAGCAGACGGACACGUGCACCCCACGCACUGGGAUUCCUCACCUGCGGGAUCAGAAAAUCCUUUCGGCGCUGGUGUCAGAAGCUCUGAGAGGUAAAAAAGAAACUUCAGUCCUCAAAUAGCCGUUGCUGAGAGUCAUUCUAGAGACAAGAAGAAAAAUCCAGAGACAGAUGAUCAAAAGUCCAUUGGAGAAUGCCCGUUUCCAUGAAGGGGCUCUCCUCUCGAGCUGGUUGUUCGCCUUCUCACUCUUUGAAAGGGCUUCUACACCUGGUCGAUCAAACUUUUGAGAUGAAACCGAGUUGAUCUGAAAGUCCCCGACACACGAUACGCUCGGUUCCCGUAACGGCGUUUGCCUGGCAGCACCCUGAUGGCACCCGUAUCCAAACCUACAGGCUCUCUCCUUGGAGCUCCCUCUUUUUCUUCGGAUGUGACCCUUCCUUACAAAUAAAUCUCAAAUCAGCCAGAGAACUCUGACACGUUGCUGUUUAACACCCUUGCUUCGGGCUGGCCUCAGUGAGACACAGCCACUUGUCUGCACAUCGGCUUUUAUUCUGCAAAGGUUAAGUGAUCAGCAAUAUUUUAUAUUUUUAAGGA